rnacentral:pre_miRNA from 1 species
UUAGCUCAUAUUUGUAUGGAAUGGGAUCGUUUGCGUACGUUUGCCGCUAGGGGCGCUGUUCCAACUGCAUACAAAAUUGGUUA